UACGGGGGGGGCAAGCGUUGUUCGGAAUUACUGGGCGUAAAGGGCGCGUAGGCGGUCAGACCAAGUCGCGUGUGAAAUGCCAGGGCUUAACUCUGGCACGCUCGCGCGAUACUGGUCGGCUAGAGUGUGGAAGAGGAUGCUGGAAUUCCCGGUGUAGCGGUGAAAUGCGUAGAUAUCAAGAGGAACACCUGCGGCGAAGGCGGGUUGCUGGGCCGACACUGACGCUGAUGCGCGAAAGCUAGGGGAGCGAACAGG
rnacentral:rRNA from 1 species